rnacentral:rRNA from 1 species
AUUGAACGCUGGCGGCAGGCUUAACACAUGCAAGUCGAGCGGUAGCACAGGGGAGCUUGCUCCCUGGGUGACGAGCGGCGGACGGGUGAGUAAUGUCUGGGAAACUGCCUGAUGGAGGGGGAUAACUACUGGAAACGGUAGCUAAUACCGCAUAACGUCGCAAGACCAAAGAGGGGGACCUUCGGGCCUCUUGCCAUCAGAUGUGCCCAGAUGGGAUUAGCUAGUAGGUGGGGUAAUGGCUCACCUAGGCGACGAUCCCUAGCUGGUCUGAGAGGAUGACCAGCCGCACUGGAACUGAGACACGGUCCAGACUCCUACGGGAGGCAGCAGUGGGGAAUAUUGCACAAUGGGCGCAAGCCUGAUGCAGCCAUGCCGCGUGUGUGAAGAAGGCCUUCGGGUUGUAAAGCACUUUCAGCGAGGAGGAAGGUGGUGAACUUAAUACGUUCAUCAAUUGACGUUACUCGCAGAAGAAGCACCGGCUAACUCCGUG